UCGAUUUCCUCCCCGCGCUCCCUCUCUCCCAUUAUCUCCACCGCCUCGAGCUUCUCUCUGCAGCUGCCAGCGGCAUCCUUGCCCAGGGCCGCCGCCCUCCUCCCCCUCCCUGACACGUCCGACGGCGUCGACUCAUCCUCUUCCGUUUUCGCACUGCUGAGGUGCUCGGCCGGACCCCUAGGCGCGCGCCCGCGGAACCCUAGCCUUAUGAGGAGUAUGAGCCUCUUCACGCGAUGAGGCCCGUCGCUAGAGGCUCCGCCAGGAGGCCCAGGACGCCUUCGUCGAGCUCAAGAAGGCGGGGCAUGGGGAGAGUUGCGGUGGUGGCCGGGACCAUGGAUCCGGCGCGCGGGCUGCAGCUUGCGGUGGAGGCUUCCUCUGGCAUCGAGGACAUCGGAGGAGGAAGAAGCAGAGGGCAAGGACUGGGUGGGGAUCGAGAGAACCCGUCGACGCCUCGACGGUGGUGGUGGGGACGAGUCUGGCUCGGACUGCUGCAGCAACCAACGCACAGUCUCGCUCCUACCCUGAGUUCUUCUCCGGCCGAGCUCCCCGCCUUCCAAGGUGUCCUGAGGGUUUCCCUUCCGAGAUCCCUGUGGUCGCCGGCCUUCUUUUCUUCCGGCCCAUACCUACGGAUUCUCGCCGGUUCUCUCCGCCAACGGCCUGGGUACGCGCGCCACGGCAGGUGCAUCGUCUCCGCGUUCCCAGAUGGCCCUGCUCCGCUGUCCUUCUGGAUGCCGACCUGGGCGACGCCUGGUCACAUCCCAGUCACACGCGGGCGCUGCUGCUCCUCUUUCUCUCUCUAACCUGUCCAGGCAAAGAUGGAGAGUCGUGGACGAGGUGGCCAAGGACAAGAUCUCCAAGUUGCUUGGCCUGAACACGCUCCAAGGGUCCAAGCACAGCACCGGCGAUGUCGACGAAGAAGAGGCCGCACGCACGGGUUGCCAGGCCAAAGUCUGGGCGCGAGACUACCCCUGGACUGCAGGGUAACGGCAAGGAGUUGGGUGACCAGGCCUGGUAUGACUCUUUUCCUCUCCUUUGUUUAUAUCCAAUAGCUUGAGAGCGAGUAGCAAAUAGUGUGCAAUGACUGAAUAUUGCUACAGUAUUUAUCUCUACCUCUAUUCCUUUCCUACUUAUUGUUUGGUAAGGUUAUUUUCCCCCUGCUUUUAUAUUCAGAAUCAUAGCAUAAUUGCAUAGUGCAGCCAACUAACUGACUUGGAGGGCAGAUUUAUGUUCCAAAUAAAUAUGUAUUGGUCGGUUGCAGUAUUAUAGCACCACAUCAAAUUCAAGUAGGCGGCAACAGAAUAGAUUUGAACGUUUAUUAUAGACUGGAGAAUCUUUUUCAAGAAUGCUGCAAGUAAGACCUGUAUGUGUACUUUGAGUUGUGUGAUAGUCAGCCUGCACAAAUGCCUCCUCGGUGCACGAGAAUUUUCGUGUUCCAUACCUGAAUUCUAAGCCUUCACAUGUCAUCAUUAAUUCCAUAUUUGAGAGUACUCUUCCUAUUUGCUAUGUCUGCUUACUAUGCUAAUUGCGAUUCUAAUUAAAGUUGCAAUAUAGCUAUAUUUUACUUCACUACUCUGGCGACUGUGAUCAAAAGUUGCAGUAUAGCUAUAUUUUACUUCACUUCUCUUUCAAUGGUUGGACAUUAAUUUCUCCUUAUUCAUUGAACUUUUUUACAGAUGAAACUCAGUUUGUAGGGUUUACAGUUCCCGUGCAUAAGGCGAAGCUAUUACUGGCGAAGAAGACUCGGUCCUUGUGGGCGAGUCUAGGGUCGUUUAGCUUACCACGAAUUAAGUAAAUAUACGAAUCAUUCUUCUAGGUCUGCACCGGCAAACCAGCAAGCUCCUUCACUUGACAGGGGAAAACAAAAUAUUUGUUCUUCUUUGCAAAAUAAUAUGUAUAAAUGAUCAGUGAGGUAGGGCUUGCCAAUGAAAUCAAGUUCUUGCUACUGUUGUUGACAGAACCAUACUAUUUUUUCUGUUUAAUCACAGAGUCCUGCUUGAUAAAAAAAACUUACGGGUAACAACAGUUCUACACACCAUAUUCUGACAGGAAUGAAAUAUCAACAGUAAUGGAGAAGGUGAUAAAUUAAUUGGGAUCUUCCGUUCAACAUGGUGGAGCUGGUGUACAACAUCUGAUACAGCUUGAAGCCUCUCUCUCUCUCUCUCUCUCAUAUUGAAUAUUCGGAUGCAGCAUCAUCUAUACGUGUACAUCCAUCAGGUACAGGUUUAAAGUUCAAUGCAUAGAGCAAGCAAGCCGCUCAAUUCUAUAAUUUAGUUAACAUUGCGUACAUAUAGUUUGGCUGCAAUUCUUAAUCUUUUGUUGCGAACCUUUCAUGUUUUUGAAGUUCUAGGCACUAAAUAAUUUUACUACACAUGCUGGUUGGAUCCUAUUUGUUUCAUACAAUUAUAGUUGCAGAUAGUUCCUAAGAAGGAAUGUAUACUUCUAGAUACCUACACAUAAGUUUCUGAAGCUUUUGCAUGACAAAAUGGAUUUGCCUAAUGAUAAGUUUUGAGAGAUAGAAAUUUGUGGCGACGGCCACCCAUCGUCCAGGCUGCUCAAGCAUGCCCUGUUUUCUAUGGCCUCGGCCCUAACAUCUGUACACAUUCUACGCUAUGAUCAGUACUUGAGUACCUCACUUUGAAAUACAAUGCACACAUUUUUUUUGUCUUAUGUUAAACUGUCAAUUUUGCAGAUGCAGGUUGUGUUAUACAUAUGUUAUUUCAGAGUUUUGUUCGACAGGUUUUGAUAGCUUGCCUCAUCUUUUUGUAAGCAUGAAGGGCUGAAGUAUUUUAGAGCUUUAUGUUCUCUACCUUCUUGCAUUUCCUGUCAAUAUCACUAUUUCAAGUCAUCAUUCCUUUAUGGUCAUAAGAAAGUUCUCCAGCCCAGUUAAUCUAGAUCUCUUUGUCAACACCUACCAAUCCCCCUUGCAGGCCCUCUUUCCCUACAAUUUUCUCUAUCGACAACCAUGUUCUCUUCUUCUCCGACUAAAGAGAUACUUGCAGCCUAGACUCCCCUACAAAUCAGGUAAACUUUCCGACAUCUUCACCUUUUACAAUUCGCUUUCUUUCCUUUCUUACUCCAUUGGUUGUUCAGAUUUGAAUCUAAAUGGGACUUCGUGCUAUGGAUCAGUAUACCGCCUAUAAAUUUUACCUCAUAUUACCUUUUUAAGUUGAGUGGUUAUCUUUCAGAUGGUAAGUCAUGCUAAGGAUAGCAAGAGUUUGGAUCCGAUAACUCUUAGCCUUUUUUUGGUCUAUACUUAGUGCUCUGGGUAUUGGAUUAAUAUUUAAGAAAUCUUCUGAUAUGUUGAAUUAAUAGUUAUCCACUUUCUUCUGAAAUAAAACAAUAUUUUUUUCAAACCAUCUGCUUUGUCUUAUACUUCCUUAAUUUGACAGGAAAGUGUAUUUUCAUCUCAAAUUUCGCAUCCAGGACAAUUUUUAUUUCAGAUCAUCGGCUUUGUCUUAACUUUCCUUAAUAUGUCAGGAAAGUGAAGAUAUACUUGUUUCAAAACUUUUCGCUGAUUUGACUAUUCAACCUUGGGAAAAGAAGAUUCCCAUAUGCCUGUACACCACUAAAUGUUUGGCAUAUAUAAUUCAAUGUACGGAUUUUACAAUUUGCACUAAAAUUAAAUGUGUGUUUCUUAUACGUAGAAUCGGACAUAUGAAUUGUUACGACAUUUUUUGCUUGAUGCUCCCAAAAAUUGAUUUAUUCUCUUAACAUGUAGUAGCAUAGUACUAUUCAGCAAAUAUCACCGCAUAUACUCUUUUAUUCGAUCAACCAUGGAGGUUGAAAAUACAUAUUUUCACGUGUAAGCAUGGACAUUCAGUUCAUUAUCGUUGCUAGGUUGGUCAAACUUUCAGUAUCCAACGGACAUACUUUUUCGAGUAGACUGACAAUUCUUAUCACGGGAAAAUUCAGGAUCAUUAGUAUGUAUGCUCGCAUGAAUGUUAUGAUCUUUUCUUUUUUUAUCUGUUAUAUGUAGUGCAUACUGAACUACAAUAUUUAACUGUAUGUAAAAAAGGAUUUGAAAGUGGUUGCUGCUUUAAAGAGUUAUUUGGUACUUUUGGGUUCCUACCUUACUGUCUUCCUAUUUUAUCAUUUGUGUUCAAUACUUAAGGCCUAGGUUUGUACUUUUUUGCAGUUAAGGUUGGCUAAUUAAAUAUGCAAUAGACAUGUUAGAAAUUUCAUAUAUAUUGUCUAUGUCUUGUGUCCCGCACCCCUCCUACAUGCUUCUCUGGGUUACAUUUUUCUUUUUUCCCUUCACGCUUGCUUGCUUUGUCGCACACAGACACCGGAGGCUCUCGAAGAUGUGGUAUUCAAUCAAUCAAGGGUCAGUUUACCGAGUUGAAGGACAUUACUUGAUAGGCUCUAAAUCCAGAGCUUUUUUCAGUCAUUUAAGCAUAAGUCUUAGAAUGACUUGAGGAUGUCGAUGCAAAAUUCAAUCUACAUUUCCAUGUUGGUUGACCUAUUCAAUAUAGUUUGAUAGAAUCAUGCAUACUAAGUAUCUCAUGUAGUCAUCUAGAUGUGUCUUAGUCAAUGCAUUCAACAUAUUUUUUUUUCCAUGUAACAUGCUACCAUUUCUAAGCCAACUGUUACCUCAGAUGUUUACUUCCUUUUUUAAAGCACGUGCCCUUAUAUUGGUUUACUGAAUACUCUUUUCUUGAGGAUACAGGGCAAGUUGUCUGCUUCUAAAACGUGCAAGACAUCUGAGUUUUAGCGUUCGUAGAAAGUUGUCUUGUUUUGUUACUUAUCAAAGGAUGUAUUAUUGAUUUCUUACAAUUCAAUAUUUGUAAGUUCUCUAUUUUUCAUCUAUAAAUAUAUGCAGCUUUAUGACCUCUAAAGUAGUUUCGAAAAACACAUUCUUACUAGAGUUCAGGCCGAAUAUCAAAGAAAAUGCACAUAUCAGGCGUGCCACUGAGGAGUCAUUUUAAUCGAACUCAACAUCGAAACCAUUCGAGCCACCUAUGGUAGCCUAGGCAUGGAAAUCAUCCUCCUUCCCCGUGAAAAAGAAGAGGCGACUUUGGUAAAUACUGAUUUCCCUCCAAGUACAAAUAAUCAAGAAGGUUGUCCAAGAAUGAUAUUCUAUGUUUUUAGGCCCCUGUUACCAAGUGUGUUGUGAAUAGUAUGAAAUACAGGGAUUGCACAGUCUGCUUUAUUUUGGAUGGUGUAAUGAA